UACGUAGGGACCAAGCGUUGUUCGGAUUUACUGGGCGUAAAGGGCGCGUAGGCGGCGCGGUAAGUCACUUGUGAAAUCUCUGAGCUUAACUCAGAACGGCCAAGUGAUACUGCAGUGCUAGAGUGUGGAAGGGGCAAUCGGAAUUCUUGGUGUAGCGGUGAAAUGCGCAGAUAUCAGGAAGAACACCCGUGGCGAAGGCGGCUCUCUGGAACGCAACUGACGCUGAGACGCGAAAGCGUGGGGAGCAAACAGG
rnacentral:rRNA from 1 species